GACAGAGGGGGCAAGCGUUGCUCGGAAUUACUGGGCGUAAAGGGCUCGUAGGCGGCCAACUAAGUCAGACGUGAAAUCCCUCGGCUUAACCGGGGAACUGCGUCUGAUACUGGAUGGCUUGAGAUUGGGAGAGGGAUGCGGAAUUCCAGGUGUAGCGGUGAAAUGCGUAGAUAUCUGGAGGAACACCGGUGGCGAAGGCAGGUCUCUGGGCUGACACUGACGCUCAUGCACGAAAGCGUGGGGAGCAAACAGG
rnacentral:rRNA from 1 species